rnacentral:rRNA from 1 species
UACAGAGGGUGCAAGCGUUAAUCGGAAUUACUGGGCGUAAAGCGUGCGUAGACGGUUAUUUAAGUCGGGUGUGAAAGCCCCGGGCUCAACCUGGGAAUUGCAUUCGAGACUGAAUAGCUAGGGUACGGUAGAGGGAAGUGGAAUUUCCGGUGUAGCGGUGAAAUGCGUAGAUAUCGGAAGGAACAUCAGUGGACGAAAGCGACUUCCUGGACCAGUACCGACGUUCAGGCACGAAAGCGUGGGGAGCAAACAGG